GCAAAGGUGCAGUUCUUACAGCUACCACAGAUGCACAGAGGACUCCAUCACAUGGGACAAAGGAGCUGACACUCCAUUCCCAGGCACUGAAAAAGAAGGAGGAGCUUGAGUGACCCCUCAUGCUGCAUGGCUUUUGUAUGGCAGGCACAUCAGAUCAUCGGAUACAAACUGAAAACUCAUUAAAGGAGAUUAUGGAGCAAACUGUUGACCUUUAUUUUGUCACAUCACAAGAUGCAGGUGGUGAUGUGUAACCUCCUGCUAAGAGCUGCUUAGUGCCUGAAGAGUGGAAGAUGAAUGUCUGCCAGAUGAAGACUCGAUAGAAGAAACUUGACUGGGCAUCAGAGCUCUGUGUUGGCUUUGCUUUGCUUCCUGCAGGAAAGGUAAGGGUCUGGUUUGUACCUCUUGGGUUUUCAAAUUAAAUACUUCCAGUGUGAUCCAAGUGUAUGCAACAUAACUAGUUUUUGAAUUCACAGAGAGAUUAAAAAGAAACCAUAGUUCAACGCGUGAACAGCCCCAUUCAUUGCAAGACUGUUACCUCAUGUAAAUAGUAUUUUAAAAUAUCAGCACUCUUAACUAUUUUGUUACAGAAAGUAUGUAAAAACAGAUGGGGAGUACAAUAGGAAGAUUCAUGCAAUGUGCUCUGAGAAUUGCUCUUUUGAGAGAAGCAUUUAACAAUACACAGUAAAAGAAGAUUUUUUUUAACUUUUACACUUUUAAGUUCUUCUAAAGAAGAGAGACACAACUUUCAAGAUGUGUUCUUGUCAAAGAGUGAGUUAAAGCAAGGGUCUGGUUUAACUGAAUGGUAAGGGAGAUUCAGACCACUGGAAUCAACUGCACAUAUAGAAAAAGGAAAUACAUGAUGUGAUACAUGAAGUUACUGCCACUGCCAAGCAUUAAUACCAGAACAAUCUUAUUGCUUUACAAACACAGACUUACUGCAGAGCCAGGCAGCAUGCAAAGCCUAGUUUAGAGCUGACAUGAUUUACUUUUGGCUUCAUCACCAUCACUGGCCAAAUAACAGAAUUUGCUGCAUUCUGUGCUCUGUGUAAUGCAUGAAUCUUUUUGGUUAUUAUGCUAUGUAAGUUAAUUUCAUGGUGGAAUAGUGAAUCAGCUGUGCUGCUGCCCUUGCACACAGACAUCUUAAAACUAACUUUAAUUUUGUAUUUCCUACUGUCUCUUGGGAUUUCUGUUACUUCUGCGAGGCAGUUGCAGAAUUUUCCUUCUACUGAAAAAGGAUCAUUUGCAAAUAUUUCAAGACCAAAUUUUGUUCUUGUCUAUCUGGAAUUUCUUAGAAUUGACUUCUGGAGUAUCUUGUGUUUAUGCUGUGGCUUGGGAAAAAAAAUGUCACUUCAGUAGAUUGAACUCACUGACAGUAAAGGACCAUUAUGAGGAGAUUUACUUCAGCCCCCUUUCUUUAACUUAUUUAAUCAUAUCUCCUUAAAAACAUACAAUAUAUUGACUGGUCUGUAAUACUACUGCAGUGAAGUUCAAGAGGUCUAAGAGACAGAGCCAUUUUCAGAUAUUUUCAUUAGAUGUAUUUAGCUGCCAUCUUAAGCAGUAACUAUAGUGUCUCCUUUCUCUGAAACAGAAAAACACAAGGACUAGCAACAUUAGGACUGUAGCAAACAAUUUUGCAGCACAUUAUGUGCAUUAACUAAAGUAUAGUCAUUACUUUUUCACUCGUUAUGAAGAGCUACAUAGUUUUAGAUUAUGUUUUGGAAAGAUCUGACAUACCUCUGACUGGAAGAGUGCCUGUUCUGCUGUUAUAGACAAAUAAUCAAAAGUGGCAUCUUCAGGCUGCGUAUCUUUGGUGAUUUUGACAUGAGGUCCUUUUGCUCUUCAAAUUCAUGCGUUGUCUUUGAAUCAGAUAUUUUUUAACUUGGUGUAUUAAGAGCAUGGGUUUUCUGACUCCAUUUUAAUACAUAUCUAUUAGUCAGCUUUAAUGCAUUUAACAUGUUAAACAUUCAUUUUGUAUCAUUCUAAAUUGUUAGCAGAAUGUUCUAUUCAAGUCUUGAUGUUUGACAAAAACCUAUGUGUGCUAAUAGCAUUAACAUUAUGAGUAAAACUUAAAAGCUAAUUAAAAAACAUAAUUUGACGUGUUCUGUUGUCCAGAUUCUAGUUUUAUUAAUGCUAUACAAUUUUAUAUAAAUUAGUAUAAUUCAUAUAAGCCUCUUUUAACUGAUUUUGUAAUCAUCAUUUUCACUUUUCUCCAGGGUUGAUGUUAACCUGCCAGACUUGUUAUUGCCUGAAUUAGUUUUUUCACUCUGUUAAAUGCUGAAUUCAUUUUUCUUCCCACCCUGCUGAAGUUCAGUAGCAUCCCAAGACAAAGUUCUAGGGCCUCUUUGCUGGUGUCUGCAAGGGCCUCUUGCAGCCUGUGACCAGCCUUUUCGAUUAUUCUCUUCUCUGCUGUGAAACCAACAGAGACAGAUGAAAAUUGCCAUCAACAGCAGUACUGAAAAGGUUGAACAUUUCCAUUCCAUCAGCAGAGAGCUGUGAUAUGAAAGGUUCAGACUCCCUUCCUCGCUGGUGAAAAUAAUUCUAUCUUCCUUAAAACUUCUUUGUCUUUUUCCCCCUUCUACCAUCAAUAGCUGCUCCCCUAGCACAGGAAUGAGUCAUUGCUCCUGUCCCUACCUCUUCAUUCUAAAACUGGAAACAGAAGAUGCUCUGGCUAUUCUAGGAACUGGGAAUUGGUCCACACAUUCUGAACACUCAGUAAACACUUCAAGGAAAGAAAGACAGAAACUGCUCUUCUUGGAAGUCAGAAGUACUAUGAAAGCGAUAUUUUGUCAGUGUAACAUUGAAACAUUUAUCUCUGAUGUAAAACUGGACAAAAAGUGCAUGUACUGAAUAACUUUGUUAUUUAUUGUGUCUCUUCAGACUUCUCUCACAGUGUCAUUAAUGAUAACAGUACUUCAAAGAUAAAGAAGAGAUUAAUCUAAUGAUCCACUCCUAUGAACUGUUCAUACCCUUGAGCCACAUCUACCAAACUGUCCCUUUUUGAAUGGGCUCAGAUCCUGGAACAUCCUAUUAACUCUGAGGACUGACUGCCAGAAUAUGUGUGAAUCAUCUACUGUGAAGUGAUGCUUAAAAAACAAAUAAUAAAAAUAAAUUACUUCAAAUAUAGGAAGAAGA